UCCCUGGUGGUCCAGUGGUUAAGACACCACCCUCCUAACGCAGGGGGCUCAGGUUCAAUCCCUGAUUAGGGAA
rnacentral:tRNA from 1 species